rnacentral:rRNA from 1 species
GACGAACGCUGGCGGCGUGCUUAACACAUGCAAGUCGAACGAUGAAGCUAGAGCUUGCUCUGGUGGAUUAGUGGCGAACGGGUGAGUAACACGUGAGUAACCUGCCCCGAACUCUGGGAUAACUGCUGGAAACGGUAGCUAAUACUGGAUACGACCAACGAAGGCAUCUUCUGUUGGUGGAAAGAAUUUCGGUUCGGGAUGGACUCGCGGCCUAUCAGCUUGUUGGUGAGGUAACGGCUUACCAAGGCGACGACGGGUAGCCGGCCUGAGAGGGUGAUCGGCCACACUGGGACUGAGACACGGCCCAGACUCCUACGGGAGGCAGCAGUGGGGAAUAUUGCACAAUGGGCGCAAGCCUGAUGCAGCAACGCCGCGUGAGGGACGACGGCCUUCGGGUUGUAAACCUCUUUUAGUAGGGAAGAAGCGAAAGUGACGGUACCUGCAGAAAAAGCACCGGCUAACUACGUGCCAGCAGCCGCAGUAA